rnacentral:rRNA from 1 species
UACAGAGGUGCCAAGCGUUGUUCGGAUUUAUUGGGCGUAAAGGGUGCGUAGGCGGUCAUGCAAGUCGGAUGUGAAAUCCCGGAGCCUAACUCCGGAACGGCAUUCGAAACUGCAGGGCUCGAGAUCUGGAGAGGUGAUUGGAAUUCUCGGUGUAGCAGUGAAAUGCGUAGAUAUCGAGAGGAACACCAGAGGCGAAAGCGAAUCACUGGACAGAAUCUGACGCUGAGGCACGAAAGCUAGGGGAGCAAACGGG